UACGGGGGGAGCAAGCGUUGUUCGGAAUUACUGGGCGUAAAGGGCGCGUAGGCGGUUUGGAUAAGUCAGCUGUGAAAACCACGGGCUUAACUCGUGGCCUGCAGUUGAGACUGUCUGGCUUGAGUGUGGGAGAGGAGAGUGGAAUUCCUGGUGUAGCGGUGAAAUGCGUAGAUAUCAGGAGGAACACCGGUGGCGAAGGCGGCUCCGUCUGGACCACAACUGACGCUGAGGCGCGAAAGCUAGGGGAGC
rnacentral:rRNA from 1 species